GUCUUUGUAGUGUAGUGGUUAUCACGUCUGCUUUACACGCAGAAGGUCCCCGGUUCGAGCCCGGGCGAAGACU
rfam:Strongylocentrotus purpuratus Contig8968_fixed, whole genome shotgun sequence.